AUCUCAAUGAAUAGGCAUUAAUUAGGUGUUCCCAAUCUUUAUCGUCUUCAGCUUCGUCUUGCAAAUCGCUAUCCUCAUUAAAUUUUCCCUGUAUUCUUGCCCUAGCUUUUCAACAGCAAAGGCGGCUGCUCUUACUACCCGUUAAGCAUGGGGAAGACAACCUCACGCGGAGAUGCAGCCGCUCGAGCUGAACGUAAAUUCGAAAAGAAACUCGACUUCUAUGCUAAGGUUAGACAGACAGUUACUUCAUUAGCUGCCCAGAAGUCUAUUACUAAGAAGAAAAAAGUAAGAAGCAGGCAAAAGAAGUUGAAGGCUUAUGAUCUUUCUGAACUUACAGAGUUUCUCCCGGAGUUAAAAGCCUCUCAGCAACCAAAACCUGCAGAGUUCAAGUUGAAAAGUAAAAAUAGGAAAAAUUUAGUGUUGAAGGAAGGCAAUCAGUUUCAAGCAGUUAUUAAUCAUCCUGCUUUCCAGGCAGAUCCACUAGGUGCCAUUCAUCAACAUCUGCAAAGCACGCAGCCGACUCUGGAUGAAAAGCCAAAAAGAAGGGAAAAUAAAAAUGGAAAUAGAAAAGGAAAAAAGAAAUCUAAAGCCUCGGCUGCGCCACAGUCAAUGGAGAUAUAAUGUGCUCUUCAACUUCACUUUCUUUUCUGCUUCUUCUAGUAAAGAUCCCCAUUUGCCAAAUUUUGGCGUGUUGGUCUGUGUUCAUAGUAGUUCACAGUGCUACUAAACUAGCAGCUAUUUACCGCUAUGAUCUUGCCUAGGCGUGCAAGAAAAGCGAUUAAGUUGAAUGUUGAAUUUGCGUAAACUUAAGUAAAGUUGAACAGCAUAUGAAAGCCCAAUUGAGUGCAGUGGCAGAGUCACGUUUAUUGAAGUGCAGUGGCAGAGUCACGUUUAUUGAAGGGGGUUCAACUAAAUCCCUUCGCCAAAAUUGUAUUGUGUAUAUAGGUGAAAUUUUAUUUUGUGUGUACUAUUGGAUCCGCUAAAUACGAGAGAACAUUUCGUCGAAUCCCUUCAUAAAUUUUUGUCUCCGCAGACUGAUUGAGUUAGUCAUUGUUUGUAAAUUUUAAA